rnacentral:rRNA from 1 species
AGCGAACGCUGGUGGCAGGCUUAACACAUGCAAGUCGAGCGGGCAUCCUUGUGGUGUCAGCGGCAGACGGGUGAGUAACGCGUGGGAACGUGCCCUUCGGUUCGGAAUAACUCAGGGAAACUUGAGCUAAUACCGGAUACGUGCGAGAGCAGAAAGGUUUAUCUGCCGAAGGAUCGGCCCGCGUCUGAUUAGCUAGUUGGUGAGGUUACGGCUCACCAAGGCGACGAUCAGUAGCUGGUCUGAGAGGAUGAUCAGCCACACUGGGACUGAGACACGGCCCAGACUCCUACGGGAGGCAGCAGUGGGGAAUAUUGGACAAUGGGGGCAACCCUGAUCCAGCCAUGCCGCGUGAGUGAUGACGGCCUUAGGGUUGUAAAGCUCUUUUCUCCGGGACGAUAAUGACGGUACCGGAGGAAUAAGCCCCGGCUAACUUCGUG